rnacentral:lncRNA from 10 species
GCUUGGCCAGCUGAAGGUUUGAGACUCAGGAUGGGGUCAUGGCUGAGACUAUGAGGGCUGCUCGUGCAUGACCCUGCCUGCUGGCCUCCAUGGGCCCACUAUCUGAAUGUGGUUACCCUUCUCCCCAGGACCAGGUGCCACCUCCUCUGGGAAGCUUUCCCUGCCCGUCCACAGGGUAUGCCUCCUUGUUCCUCUCCUGCCAUCGGUUUACGUGCCUGUCUCCAUCAACAGACCAGGAGCUCCUGAGGACAGGGACUGAGUCUGCCUGAUUCAUCUCUGCAUUCCUAGCACUUACCUUGGUGCUUAGUGAAAGCUCGAACCUGCCUGGGUUCCCACCUUGUCUCUGCUACCCCCAGCUCUGUGAACUCAGAGUCAUUUUUCUCUCCCCGAGUGGCACCGGGCUCAGCAGACACUCUGGCCAUGAAGGCAUCUUCUGACUCAAGCAGGCUGGAGUGCAAUGGCGUGAUCUCGGCUCACUGCAACCUCUGCCUCCCAGGUUCAAGCAAUUCUCCUGCCUCAGCCUCCCGAGUAGCUGGGAUUAUAGGCAUGCACCACCACGCCCAGAGCCAACUACUAAGCCUGUAGCAGCCUCCCAAACUGCCCAGUCUUGUUCAGAUGCACCUCCAGAAACACAGGGGUCCAAAAUGCCCCUUCCCAGACACCCUGAGGAGUAGAACAGUGCCAGCAGGCUCCAGGGAUGAGGGACUAGCUACCACAUUCCCUUUCCCAAGCCUCAGUUUCCCCACCUGUAAGAUGAGGGAUAUGGGCUCUGACUUUCUGAGUUUGGAAAAUAAAGUGCUCCCCAAACUGG